GCAAAAGAUACGUCCGUACGCAUCAGUAGGAGUAGGAUCAGACGCUUCAACUGGACUGGAGCUUUCUUCUUUUGCUGAAAGCAGCGCAAAACAUUCAGAGAGAUAUUCACGAUUCAGGAGCCGAACUAUCUCGUCGAUAAGGAAAAAGGGACAAUCGACCUGCGCAGAGCAAGCGCCAAACCAGGUAUAUGUCAAUGGCACGGUAGAGUCCGUCAUCAACAAUGCGUGCAUAAUCUGGCAAUAGUUCAAUAAGAGCCAUAAACUUCUGAAGUUUCAGAUAUGGAUCUGGUGCUAUCUCUGCUAGAUAACCAUCCAUCA